rnacentral:rRNA from 1 species
UACGUAGGUGGCGAGCGUUGUCCGGAAUUACUGGGUGUAAAGGGAGCGUAGGCGGGAGUGCAAGUUGACUGUUAAAUCUAUCGGCUCAACCGGUAGCUGCGGUCAAAACUGCAUUUCUUGAGUGAAGUAGAGGCAGGCGGAAUUCCGAGUGUAGCGGUGAAAUGCGUAGAGAUUCGGAGGAACACCAGUGGCGAAGGCGGCCUGCUGGGCUUUAACUGACGCUGAGGCUCGAAAGCGUGGGGAGCAAACAGG